rnacentral:rRNA from 1 species
AAUCCACACGACUCUCGGCAACGGAUAUCUCGGCUCUCGCAUCGAUGAAGAACGUAGCGAAAUGCGUUACCUGGUGUGAAUUGCAGAAUCCCGCGAACCAUCGAGUCUUUGAACGCAAGUUGCGCCCGAGGUCUUUUGGCUGAGGGCACGCCUGCCUGGGCGUCACGC